CUGCAGAAGCCCCCUCCCUGUUCCUGAACAACUCAGAAGGAUAAUGGCUCUUUUUCCUUCAGGCAACAACUUAAGGACAGCAAUAAUGAAACUGUAAUUUGAAAGUGGGCAGAACUCACACCAAUAUGAUCAUUGUGGUUACCUCUGGUGAGAGCUUAUAAGGCACAGUGAGAGGCUGGGGAUCUGGAUAACAGGCCGGUUUUACAAAGCAAAACAAAGAAAGAAACAACAACAACAAAACG